CCUACGGGUGGCAGCAGUGGGAAAUAUUGGACAAUGGGGGGAACCCUGAUCCAGCCAUGCCGCGUGUGUGAAGAAGGCCCUCGGGUUGUAAAGCACUUUCAGUGAGGAAGAACGCCUGGUGGUUAAUACCCAUCAGGAAAGACAUCACUCACAGAAGAAGCACCGGCUAACUCCGUGCCAGCAGCCGCGGUAAUACGGAGGGUGCGGGCGUUAAUCGGAAUUACUGGGCGUAAAGCGCGCGUAGGUGGCUUGAUAAGCCGGUUGUGAAAGCCCCGGGAUCAACCUGGGAACGGCAUCCGGAACUGUCAAGCUAGAGUGCAGGAGAGGAAGGUAGAAUUCCCGGUGUAGCGGUGAAAUGCGUAGAGAUCGGGAGGAAUACCAGUGGCGAAGGCGGCCUUCUGGACUGACACUGACACUGAGGUGCGAAAGCGUGGGUAGCAAACAGGAUUAGAUACCCUAGUAGUC
rnacentral:rRNA from 1 species